rnacentral:Y_RNA from 1 species
GGCUGGUCUGAUGGUAGCGGGUUAUCAGAACUUAUUAAUAUUAGUGUCCCUGAAGUUGUUAUACAACCCCCCACUGCUAAAUUUGACUGGCUUUAA